CCCUUAGAUGUUCUGGGCCGCACGCGCGCUACACUGAUACGCUCAACGAGCUCCUUGGCCGAAAGGUCCGGGUAAUCUUUGAAAUCGUAUCGUGAUGGGGAUAGAACAUUGCAAUUUUCGUUCUUCGACGAGGAAUGCCUAGUAAGCGCGAGUCAUCAUCUCGCGUUGAUUACGUCCCUGCCCUUUGUACACACCGCCCGUCGCACCUACCGAUUGAAUGGUCCGGUGAGACUUUCGGACCAUGGCAACGUUGCUUCAUUGGAGCGUCGCCGUGGGAAGUCAUUCAAACCUUACCAUUUAGAGGAAGGUGAAGUCGUAACA
rnacentral:rRNA from 1 species